AUUGAACGCUGGCGGCAUGCUUUACACAUGCAAGUCGAACGGUAACAGGCCGCAAGGUGCUGACGAGUGGCGAACGGGUGAGUAAUGCAUCGGAACGUGCCCAGUCGUGGGGGAUAACGCAGCGAAAGCAGCGCUAAUACCGCAUACGAUCUAUGGAUGAAAGCGGGGGACCGAAAGGCCUCGCGCGAUUGGAGCGGCCGAUGUCAGAUUAGGUAGUUGGUGGGGUAAAGGCUCACCAAGCCAACGAUCUGUAGCUGGUCUGAGAGGACGACCAGCCACACUGGGACUGAGACACGGCCCAGACUCGUACGGGAGGCAGCAGUGGGGAAUUUUGGACAAUGGGCGCAAGCCUGAUCCAGCAGUGCCGCGUGCGGGAAGAAGGCCUUCGGGUUGUAAACUGCUUUUGUACGGAACGAAACGGUCCGGGUUAAUACCCUGGGCUAAUGACGGUACCGUAAGAAUAAGCACCGGCUAACUACGUGCCAGCCGCCGCGGUAAGAC
rnacentral:rRNA from 1 species